UUUAAUAUUUCUUUGCAUGUUUUUAUUAUAUAUUUUAUUUAACUAAACUAACUACUCAUAUAUGCUUCUCCUCUUUUAUAUGGAAUUAUAAUAAAAUAUUUUCAAGCGAUUGUCACGAACAUAUGCGAAAUAUAUUUAAAUACAAGCAUUAUUUCUAAAAAAUUUUAAGGAAAAGCCACAAAAUUAUUAUUGCAGAUUUAGAUUUGUCAUCACUGUUCCAUAGAAAAAAUAGGUCAAUAAAAAUUUCAAUAUGUAGCAGACUUAUUAAUCUAACGAUUGCCUGCAAUAAACUAAAAUUAAUGGAGCGCUUUCCGCAGACUCACAUACAUAAACAGAAAUUCACGCUAGGCACAGAACAUUACUGAGGAUGAAAAAAGAUGAUUAUUUACUAAAUGUAAAUAAAGCAGAGUCUAUCGCACUUGUACUUAAGAUCUUUUAUUAAAAUUAUUUUUUUGAAUAUAUGUUUAAGUAACCUUUCAAAAUUUUUGCAAUUUUUAUUGACAAGGUACAGUGAGUGUAUGCUAAUAUUAAUAUAAUCUGGUAUUCUUGCCAGAGAACACACAUAAAAUGGGUUACUUAGAAACACACACAGCGUCUAUACUCAGUACUAAUUGAACAAUUAAGAUAUUAAAUCAUGAUAAAAUAAAAAUACAAGAGCAUAAUGCAAACAGGUAUAUAAUCGCUUAAGUUUAUUAACAUAUCUUUACUAAUAGAGAUAUAUAAGUAUGUAUAUGCAUCAUAAACUCAAAAUGAAAAUGAAAUUUUAUAUGUACAUUAUCAAAAUAUGUACAUAUCAAAAUUUUGUUGAGAGUUACGAAAAAAAAAAAAUUGUGCCAAUAUUUGAGCCCUUUUUCUUCAUUUUUCAGUUAGCGCUCGCAAAAGUAAGAAUUUUCGUCAAAAAAUACUUUUUUUCAUUCAUUUUUUGGUUAUAGAUAAUUUAAAAUACCAAAUAUAAAAAAACCCUUGGUAUGGUUUUGUAGGAAAUUAAAUUCUCUACAAAAAUUAUCCUUUCUCGAAUUCAUAGAAUCAACACCGUUUUUUAUUGCUCAUUCAAUUACAAUUUUUAUUUUCAAUUAUUGAUAAACACUUAUUAAACUUCUUUUCAACGAAAAAAACAACAAACUAAAUCAAUUUUUCUAGCAAUGUUUAUGAUCUAAAUCAAAGUGUAUUUAACAAAGUGAACUAAGUAUAUGACAUUUAAUUUUUCUUUACGCUUAUUUGACAUGAAUGUUGUCAUUGACUUAACCCUUACAUUUAUUCAAAAAAUUCAAAUUCAGAAAUUCAAAAGUAAGCAAAUUUCAAAACGAAAAACAAUAUUUUUUUAAAUAACUGAAAUAAAUGCCGAAUACUUGUUGCCUAUGCAAAACAACUCAUGGAAGCAACUUACCAAUGUUUUGUGCUCCAACUGACAAAUCGCAACGGAAGGAAUGGGAAAAAGUACGUGGCGUACAACUCAGUUUGUCAUCGAGAAUAUGUGGGCUACAUUUUAAGGCGGAGGAAAUAAAAGAAUCUCCCCUUAAAAGAAUACGACUAAGCCCCGAUGCAGUACCCUCAUUAAACUUACUUCCCAAUCUUCAAGAAAAAAAAGUCUCAAGACAAACUUGUUUGCGCGAAAAUGAAUGAACUAUAUGAAAGAAUUAUAAUAACUAUUAUAAUUUAAAGAGUCGCAUAAACAUCUGUAUACAGUUUCUAAUAGUUUGGCGGGGUACUGGUUACGACGUAUAUAUACAUAUAUAGUUACAAUAAAAUUUGUGAAUAAUGUUGCAUUUAUACACGUAUGUAAGUGUUUGUAAAAUAAAUAUGAAUUCAUUAUAACGUUGAGAACAAAUAAAUUGGUUGUCUCUAUUUCUAUUACGUUUAAAUUUAUCAUAUAUAUGUAUGUAAAGCAAGUGGCUUCAUAUUGUUCAAGAUCAAAAAAAAAAACACACGGGUUAAUAUAAACAAAUACAUGAAUUGUUUACUAUUUUAUUGUCAAAUAAGCGUAAGUCAAAUACUUAGUUCACUUUGUUGAAUACACUUUGAUCUAAA